AUUGAACGCUGGCGGCAGGCCUAACACAUGCAAGUCGAACGUGUGGCGCAUGGGUGUGUAAUAUCUGGCAAACUCCCUGAUGGAGGGGGAUAACUACCGCAAUCGGUACCUAACACCGCAUACCGGCGUAUGCGCCCAGAUGGUAGUAGCUAGGAGGUGGGGUAACGGCUCACCGAGGCGACGAUCCCUAGCUGGUCUGAGAGGAUGACUCGGCACACUGGGGCUGAGACUCGGGGCAGAAUCCGACCGGAGGCAGGAGUGGGGAAUGUAGCACAAUGGGCGCGAGCCUGAUGCGACCACGCGGCGUGUAUGAAGAACGGCAUCGGGGCGUGAAGUACGUUCAGCGGGGAGGCGGUACCCGAAGAAGAAGCACUGGCUAACUCCGUGCCAGCAGCCGCGGUAAUAC
rnacentral:rRNA from 1 species